rnacentral:rRNA from 1 species
ACAGCCGGCGAUGUCCGAAUGGGGAAACCCAGUGCAAUUCGUUGCACUAUCGUUAACUGAAUACAUAGGUUAACGAGGCGAACCGGGGGAACUGAAACAUCUAAGUACCCCGAGGAAAAGAAAUCAACCGAGAUUCCCCCAGUAGCGGCGAGCGAACGGGGAGCAGCCCAGAGUCUGAAUCAGCUUGUGUGUUAGUGGAACGGUCUGGAAAGUCCGACGGUACAGGGUGAUAGUCCCGUACACCAAAAUGCACAGGUUGUGAACUCGAAGAGUAGGGCGGGACACGUGGUAUCCUGUCUGAAUAUGGGGGGACCAUCCUCCAAGGCUAAAUACUCCUGACUGACCGAUAGUGAACCAGUACCGUGAGGGAAAGGCGAAAAGAACCCCGGCGAGGGGAGUGAAAAAGAACCUGAAACCGUGUACGUACAAGCAGUGGGAGCACCUUCGGGUGUGACUGCGUACCUUUUGUAUAAUGGGUCAGCGACUUAUAUUCUGUAGCAAGGUUAACCGUAUAGGGGAGCCGCAGGGAAACCGAGUCUUAACUGGGCGUUAAGUUGCAGGGUAUAGACCCGAAACCCGGUGAUCUAGCCAUGGGCAGGUUGAAGGUUGGGUAACACUAACUGGAGGACCGAACCGACUAAUGUUGAAAAAUUAGCGGAUGACUUGUGGCUGGGGGUGAAAGGCCAAUCAAACCGGGAGAUAGCUGGUUCUCCCCGAAAGCUAUUUAGGUAGCGCCUCGUGAACUCAUCUUCGGGGGUAGAGCACUGUUUCGGCUAGGGGGUCAUCCCGACUUACCAACCCGAUGCAAACUACGAAUACCGAAGAAUGUUAUCACGGGAGACACACGGCGGGUGCUAACGUCCGUCGUGAAGAGGGAAACAACCCAGACCGCCAGCUAAGGUCCCAAAGUCAUGGUUAAGUGGGAAACGAUGUGGGAAGGCACAGACAGCCAGGAUGUUGGCUUAGAAGCAGCCAUCAUUUAAAGAAAGCGUAAUAGCUCACUGGUCGAGUCGGCCUGCGCGGAAGAUGUAACGGGGCUAAACCAUGCACCGAAGCUGCGGCAGCGACACUAUGUGUUGUUGGGUAGGGGAGCGUUCUGUAAGCCUGCGAAGGUGUGCUGUGAGGCAUGCUGGAGGUAUCAGAAGUGCGAAUGCUGACAUAAGUAACGAUAAAGCGGGUGAAAAGCCCGCUCGCCGGAAGACCAAGGGUUCCUGUCCAACGUUAAUCGGGGCAGGGUGAGUCGACCCCUAAGGCGAGGCCGAAAGGCGUAGUCGAUGGGAAACAGGUUAAUAUUCCUGUACUUGGUGUUACUGCGAAGGGGGGACGGAGAAGGCUAUGUUAGCCGGGCGACGGUUGUCCCGGUUUAAGCAUGUAGGCUGGUUAUCCAGGCAAAUCCGGAUAAUCAAGGCUGAGGUGUGAUGACGAGGCACUACGGUGCUGAAGUAACAAAUGCCCUGCUUCCAGGAAAAGCCUCUAAGCAUCAGGUAACAUCAAAUCGUACCCCAAACCGACACAGGUGGUCAGGUAGAGAAUACCAAGGCGCUUGAGAGAACUCGGGUGAAGGAACUAGGCAAAAUGGUGCCGUAACUUCGGGAGAAGGCACGCUGGUGUGUAGGUGAAGUCCCUGCGGAUGGAGCUGAGACCAGUCGAAGAUACCAGCUGGCUGCAACUGUUUAUUAAAAACACAGCACUGUGCAAACACGAAAGUGGACGUAUACGGUGUGACGCCUGCCCGGUGCCGGAAGGUUAAUUGAUGGGGUUAUCCGUAAGGAGAAGCUCUUGAUCGAAGCCCCGGUAAACGGCGGCCGUAACUAUAACGGUCCUAAGGUAGCGAAAUUCCUUGUCGGGUAAGUUCCGACCUGCACGAAUGGCGUAAUGAUGGCCAGGCUGUCUCCACCCGAGACUCAGUGAAAUUGAACUCGCUGUGAAGAUGCAGUGUACCCGCGGCAAGACGGAAAGACCCCGUGAACCUUUACUAUAGCUUGACACUGAACAUUGAGCCUUGAUGUGUAGGAUAGGUGGGAGGCUUUGAAGCGUGGACGCCAGUCUGCGUGGAGCCAACCUUGAAAUACCACCCUUUAAUGUUUGAUGUUCUAACGUUGGCCCCUGACCGGGGUUGCGGACAGUGUCUGGUGGGUAGUUUGACUGGGGCGGUCUCCUCCCAAAGCGUAACGGAGGAGCACGAAGGUUAGCUAAUCCUGGUCGGACAUCAGGAGGUUAGUGCAAUGGCAUAAGCUAGCUUGACUGCGAGCGUGACGGCGCGAGCAGGUGCGAAAGCAGGUCAUAGUGAUCCGGUGGUUCUGAAUGGAAGGGCCAUCGCUCAACGGAUAAAAGGUACUCCGGGGAUAACAGGCUGAUACCGCCCAAGAGUUCAUAUCGACGGCGGUGUUUGGCACCUCGAUGUCGGCUCAUCACAUCCUGGGGCUGAAGUAGGUCCCAAGGGUAUGGCUGUUCGCCAUUUAAAGUGGUACGCGAGCUGGGUUUAGAACGUCGUGAGACAGUUCGGUCCCUAUCUGCCGUGGGCGCUGGAGAAUUGAGGGGGGCUGCUCCUAGUACGAGAGGACCGGAGUGGACGCAUCACUGGUGUUCGGGUUGUCAUGCCAAUGGCACUGCCCGGUAGCUAAAUGCGGAAGAGAUAAGUGCUGAAAGCAUCUAAGCACGAAACUUGCCCCGAGAUGAGUUCUCCCUGAGACUUUAAGUCUCCUGAAGGAACGUUGAAGACGACGACGUUGAUAGGCCGGGUGUGUAAGCGCAGCGAUGCGUUGAGCUAACCGGUACUAAUGAACCGUGAGGCUUAACCUU